CACACAAGGACCACAGAGUGUUUCAGUGUGCAGGAGGAGUCCAUGCUGCUACCGGCUAGUGGAUUUUAAGAAUACGAUAUUUUGAAUCGAGAGAUGGAUAAAAAAAAGUCACUGACGGGCUCUCAACGUGUGGAAUACAGCUGUGUCCAACACACUGUUGAAUGUAAAUUUAUGCCCGUGUAACGGAAGCCCUCAACCGUCGCUGGACGAUCAAUUUGACCUGACGACCUUCUCGCGGUAUCGAAGGAUUUCCACUCCUGCCUCGGGAGGAAGAAACACAAGUGCCGUUACGACCGAUACUGUGGGAACGAAAGAAUAAUUUCCCGACCACACUCACAACACGCGGAACAAUUUUCAACCAACCAACCAAGCGGCUCGUAUGCUCCUUUAUGCAAUGAUAAUAAUGUUCGAACGAGCGGCGAGGUUGCGACUCGACGGGAAACAUAUCGCAAAGUAAUCAAACACAAUGACAACAUUUCAUCGUAAAUAGGCGCUCCACAUGUUCCCGCUUCACGCGGCGAUGCGCCGCUCGCAUUUCCAGACUAAGGCAUCGGAACUAUCCACGAAAUACUGUUCGCAUCGCGAGUAAGGUACAGAAUUCCGUGUUGCGGUACAGGAAUAUAGGAUGAAGUAUUGCUCAAUGCGGUAUAUCUCCUCCGCCAUGUAGUUACUCCCGACCGCGUUGAUACGAAGGACUCGUACAACCAUACGACGAUGUCAUUCACCUUCCACCAAACUGAUCACGAGCGCCCGGUGACUUCAUCUGAAUAUAAAUCGACUUAUUUUGCAGCACUAGACCUCCUCCGUUCGGCAAGGCGCGAGUCGUGGGAGGUAUCUGUUCGUAGAUUGACUAGCGGACCGUUUACCUACUCUUUGCCGAAAGAGGUUCAUCUUAUCACGAUCAUUAUGCGUACUCCAUAAGCAACAGGCAACAAAGCGCGAACACACCAUUCAGCAGUCCCUUUUCCCGGGGUCCAUGUGUCUGCGAGCGAUACUAAUUGUAAACAAAUAAAUUAAACAUCCAUCACUGA